rnacentral:lncRNA from 10 species
AAAAUAAUAAGUCCUGUUUCUGGUCCUGAACAUCCAGAAUUAUGGAGGCUUAAUGUGGCCUCAUUACCAUAUUAGAAUUUGGUCUAGAAAUCAAGCUAUAAAAACAAGAGAUCAUAAGCCGUGUUACACUAUCAACCUAAAUUCCAGUCUAACGGUUCCUUCACAAAGUUGUGUAAAGCCCCCUUAUAUGCUAGUUGUAGGAAAUAUAGUUAUUAAACCAGACUCCCAAACUAUAACCUGUGAAAAUUGCAGACUGUUUACUUGCAUUGAUUCGACUUUUAAUUGGCAGCACUGUAUUCUGCUAGUGAGAGCAAGAGAAGGCGUGUGGAUCCCCGUGUCCAUGCACCGACCGUGGGAGGCCUCG